CAAUUAAUCUAUUUUCCAUCUUUUACGUGCUGUUAUGGAGGCCUGCGAGGAACAAAAAGCACAAUUGCUUACAAACGACAACUCUGUUAGCUACAUUCAUUAAAACACACAACUAUACACCACUCAUGCACCCCCCUGUGUACAAAACAGAAGAAAGCUCUAGGAGGAAUAUCACAUUCAGAAUUUUCAGAACAUGGAGUCACCAAAGAUCAUAGGGAAUGAAAAUGCCAACACCCAUCCAACCAGGUUUUACUUUGUCUGAACAAACAGAAUAUUUAACGGAUAGGCAAAACUUAACACACAAUGCAAACAACUUCAACCAACAUCACCUUAUUUGCAUGUGAAUACAAAGUUCAUGCGUGUGUGUGUGUGUAUGAGUGUAUGUGUCUGUGUCUACAGACAGACUGCUUAUUGACUGCAUACUUCACACAUUAUGGAGUGCCCUGACUAAAGGUCAGCUCUGCUAUGCAAAGCAAGUUCAGCUCAUCUUUGUGAACAGCUAGAUAGCUGAGACGAGAAGCACUGCAACACACAGACAGCAAGGAGCUUCUGAGGAUCACAAAAGACAAGGGUGCAGAUGACAACGGGAUGGAUCACUUGCUUCUGUUCACUCUGCUGUUCUCAGGGCUCGGCAGCGUGUCCUCACGCAUGCCACGGCGGUUCCACUUUGUGAACCUGAGUGAGACGUGGGACGAAGCACAGGAACACUGCAGGCACAAGUUCACCGACCUGGCCACUGUGGAAAACAUGUUUGACAUGACUACGAUGACCAAUGGCACAGA